GGAUCGUAAUGUAAAUGAAUUAGAGGAGAUUUUAAAUGGAUUGCAGCUGAGUAAUGAUCCCGAGAUUGAUUAUUUACUUCUUCCAUCCAUGGGCUCAUGUCAGAAACCUUCCAUUGACUGGAAUUCCAUUAUCUCUGUACUGUUCUCACAUGAAAAUGCAUGGAAGUAUCAUGUGAAUUCUCCUCUGAAGGACUGUACGCGUAUUAUGUGGACAAAAAAUGGUCAGGUAUGCAAAUGCAUGCUACAGAAUUCUUUGGUCUACACACCACAUAAUGGAGAAGUCUAUUGCAUUGAAGGCAUAUAUGAUCAUUUGGAUGGAAGGUCACUUUUGAAGUUGAAGAAUGGCGAUUAUACAAGUUAUAAGGAGUAUUACAAAGAUAAGUAUGACAUCGAACUGCUUUUUGAUCAAGAAUUACUUCUUAGAGGACGGCAUAUUUUUCCCUUGCAUUAUUACUUUCGUAGAUGCAGACAACACAAGGGAAAAGAUUCACAAAAUGCAUAUGUUGAGUUGCCCCCUGAACUUUGUUGCAUUAAAAUGUCACCUAUAUCCAUAAGUACUUUCUAUUCUUUUACAUUUGUUCCAUCAAUCAUGCAUCGAAUUGAGUCUUUGCUCAUUGCUGUCAACUUGAAGAAGAUGCAUAUUGCAUUUGGAUCAAAUGCGAAAUGUCAUUAUUCCAACCAUCAAGGUUUUGGAAGCAAUUACCACAAAAAAGUGUCAAGAGAAAUUUCAUUUGGAAUCACUAGAGACUCUUGGAGAUUCUUUUCUUAAAUAUGCUGCUAGUCAGCAGCUAUUCAAAACAUAUCAAAAUUAUCAUGAGGGCCUUCUCAGUAUUAAGAAGGAAAAGCUUAUUAGUAAUGCUACACUUUGCAAAUUAGGAUGCGACCGCAAACUUCCGGGAUUCAUCCGCAAUGAGUCUUUUGAUCCUAAAAACUGGAUGAUUCCUGGUGAUACUCAUGGAUAUUCAUUACAUGAGGAGUUUCUCUCCAAUGCAAGGAGUAUAUACAUAAUAAGAAGAAGAAAACUAAAAAGGAAGGUUGUUGCUGAUGUUGUUGAGGCACUUAUUGGCGCUUACCUUAGUGCAGGUGGUGAAACAGCUGCCUUAUUAUUUCUGAAUUGGAUUGGUAUAGAGGUAGAUUUUUUGAAUACACCAUAUGAACCGCAAUUCAAAGUGAACCCAGAGAAGUACAUUAAUAUCCGCCGCUUAGAGUCGCUAUUGAAUUGCUCUUUUAAAAAUCCUUCUCUGUUAUUGGAA
rnacentral:misc_RNA from 1 species